rnacentral:lncRNA from 1 species
UUCUCAAAUAGUGUCUCCCCUGUAAAGCAAUUCCAGUAGAUGUAAUCUCUACAAACUUUUCACAGUUGCAAUGGUUAUCUUCAGUAUUAUGUAAAAGCUAUUUUGAGGCUUGUCUUCUUCCUUUUGUUAGAAUCUUGCAAAUUCUCUGAAGCCCAGACUUUAAGUUAUUCAUCUUUGCAUCCUCCAUUAUACCUAUCACAGAACUUAAGUACAAUAGGACCUCAGCCAGUGUUCCAGGAAAUAAAUUAAAUUGAAUGAAAUUUCCAUACAGUGAUAAGAAGGAGAUUACUGCUGCCCACGGGGAAAAAGGAGAACAGAAAUGGGAAAGCCGUAUUGAGAGGAUGUUUGAGAACUGUGAAAGACAGAAAGCAGACCAGAUUGCCAUGCCUAAACCACUUUCUUUGAAGUUUAUGGAAGCACCACUGCAUUUAUGCCAGAAGGUGAAAGUCCAGAACAGGUGCUUUUUGGUUUGAGAAUGAGUGUUCUACAUACUGGCCUGUAAGGCAGUGCUACUCCAAGUGUGGUCCACAGGCUGGCAGCAACAUCAUAGGGGAGUAUGUUAACAAUGCUGAUUCUCCAGCCCCAGCUCCGGACUCUGUUUUAACGGUCUAUCCAGGCAUGAAUUCUACUCAAGUGGCCUGCCCCUCAGCAGAAGUUGGACAGGUGCUUAUGUUGCAAUUAACAAAAAGGAUACAUGCUGGGUCCUGCAGUAAAUGUCUCCCUUGGAUCAUGAAGUCUUUUUACCAUGUUACUGGAACACAGAAGGGUACUAUUGAGAACCAACUAACUUGGAGCCGUGUAUGAGCCACUGGGAAUAGACUAAAUGAGAUAAUCAACGUCUUGAUCUCAUAUUCUUUCAUUCUACAGAAGGAAGCAGGCAACAGGUUGCAAUACGAAGUGGAGUUAAAGCAACUAGAAGGAAGUGUCAGUAACCAAGCUGAGAGAGGCUGGAAGGAAAACAAUUCAUGCAGCAGAAAAGAAAGCCUUUUGAGCACUGUGAUGUCAGAAGGUGACUUGGAAGAUGAUCUAAAUGUUAAACUGGCAGUGAAGAGUGCCACAUCAUUGUUAUUCCCCCAAGAUCCUGGAUUCCAGACAGCCCAGUGGAGCACCAUAGAAAGAACUUUCAGGAAGCAGAGAAUGGUUCAGGGAUUCUGAUUUUCCUGAACUUCCUCCUCCCUAUCCACCUCCAAUUAGGAAAAAAGAAGAAAAAAAAGAUUAAACACGUCCAGAAUGUUAAAAAUCCAGUAGGGAUUUUAAAUGUUCACUAUUACAGCACAUACAUUUAUACACAAGGAGGUCUGAAGGCUUUCUGGUUUCAAUUAAGAUUAUUAUCUCCUUUGAGUGAUGGUUUCUCCUUUUUUCCCCCAGAAUUCCCUUUGGCUGAUCUAUUUUAAAAGAGUAUGAGCUAGGGAUAACUAGGCUUAUUUGUAUUGAGUCUACUUUCCCCUCCAGGUCUCUUUGUCUUAAAUUCUGAAGUCCCUUUUCCUAUCCUGCUAAAGGUUAGCAGCUUGAAAUCAAGGACAUGAGUCAUUGUUACUUUUCAUGUGGAAGAUAAGCUCUGUGGCUUUUAUAGCAAAAAGUAUAUACAAUUCUAAAAUUAAAGUGCAAGUCAGAAAGGCCAUUGGGGCUGUGAAAAGUCCUUAUCUAAAUCAGAAGACCAAGGUCAAGUUUGUAUCAUGCCUAUUAGUACAUGGGUUUCAUUGGUUAAGUUACCAAACCUCUGAGCCUCAGUUUCCUUAUCAGUCAAAUGAGUGCAAUAAUUCCCGCCCUAUCAUCUGACAAAUUAUUGAGAAAUUCUAAUUACAUGCCUAUAAUUUUCAGGUCUUUGUUUUUCAGGUCUUUGUUAAGCAUCAUGCACAUAAACGUUUGUAUUACACUUUCUUUAGCAGUAUUUGAACAUGGUACCUUAUUCAAUGUUCUGAAACAAAUCAUGAAUACUUCCUGGUGUGGUGAUAAUAUCUUCAUAAACUUGUGACACCCGAUGGAAUGUGAGUCGGUUUUGUAAUAGCCUUUAAAAACUUCCCUCAAUACAUAAUAAAGAAUGGUAAAAAAUUUUGGUUGAGGAAACUAAUGAUACAUCCAAAAUAACACAUUCAGUUUUCCAGUGAAGAAUAUUCUCAAAGUAAAAUGCUGUUUAGACUUACUUAAAGGUUCUUAAAACAAGUUAUACAAAGGGAUAGUAUUGAAAUCCAUCUUUUAAUAGAUAUAUACUAGUAAUUAUGUUGAAGACCCAGGAAAAUACUAUUAAUAGGUGUGAAAUUUAAAUCACACUAAUUAGUACUUUAAAAUAUUAUUCCUUCACGUUAUUUUAAAGAAGCUUUUCCUACAUGUGUGACCUAUUCUGUCAAACACAGCCAUGAAUAUCUAGUAUACUAAAUUGGUCCUAUUCUGACUCCAAUUUUCAAACACUUUUAACAUAGGACUAUAGAGUUCAUAUUUACAAAGUGUGUGCAUGCCUAUGUGUAUCACUAAUAUGUAGUAUAUGCAUACUAAAUAUGCACAUGGGUAUUUCAAACUCUGUUGGCUUGACUCUAAAUGUUCAGCUAUCGAUGUUAUUCUUGGUAUUUAGAGGUUUUAUUUAUAUAUUUAUCUUUCUUGACUUUCCCACUGGGAGGUGUCUUCUGAUAUUUCAGCCUCUAGCAUCUCAGUCCCAUACAUUCAGCCCUCACUGGGAAGUUUAAUUCCAGGUUACUAAUUUCAGAGCAUCCCAAAGAUGCUGUUUAGCUAGGUAGUGCCUUAAUAUAUCUUAGAAUUAAAAGAAAAUACUUUCUGUCUCUCAGGGCAUUUGAAAGCUCAAACUCUCCUCUUUGAACUUCCCUCUCUCAUUAUAUUGCCAUCACAAAUCUUUGUCCAUCACUAGGUGGUACAACUCCCCCUCCCCUCACCUGCCUCACACACAUAUGACCUACAGUGGAAAACUGAGCUCCAGAUGGUUCAUGGACUUGCCCAAAGUCACCUGUACCAUUGCUGACUUGGAACUUGAAUGUCCAAGCCUUCUAAAUCCUCAUCUGCAUUUUUCACAUUAGAGAAUUUUGAUCUCUGACUUCCAACAGUUAUUUCAGGAGAGGAAAAUGCAUGGCUUCACUAUCCAAUGGACUAAAAAAUUGAGUAAGGGAUAGAACAUAUUUUACACUCCAACUUGAAAACUUGUCGUAAUGAUGCUCUUCCAGCAUGAAGAAAUUAAAAUUGGCCUUCCUCUUCGUUCUCCUGAAUUGUUCACUGUAACUGAGUGGAGAUAUUUUAGGAGGGUUCUUACUGUGGCUUCUGAAGACCUUUUUCAGAAUAAGGUCUUUUUUUCAAAAACACCACACAAAAUACAAUACAAAAAUACAAUACAAAAAUUUUCAAAAAUACAGUAUUAGUUUGAAGCUUGGUAAGUUUUGACUAUUGCCUAUACCUAUGUAACUGCUACCUAAAACAAGAUAUAGAAAUAUUCUAACUUCCCAGAGAGAUUCUUCAUGCCCCUUUCAUUCAGUGUCAUCCCAGACCCCACAAAGGCAAUUCCUUCUGAUGGUAUGUAUGUAUUCUUUAGUGUCUGAUAUUUUUUAGAUUUAUUUAUAUUGUCAUAUGUAUCAGUAGGCCAUUCAUUUUUGUUGUUGAUGAAUAUUUCAUUGUGUGAAUAUGCUGCAAUUUGUUGAUUCAAAUACCUCCUGAUAGUUGUUUUCCGUUUGGGGCUGUUAAGAAUAAGGCUUCCAUAAAC